UACGUAGGGCGCAAGCGUUGUCCGGAAUUAUUGGGCGUAAAGAGCUCGUAGGCGGCUUGUCACGUCGGGUGUGAAAGCUCGGGGGCUUAACCCCCGGGUCUGCAUUCGAUACGGGCUGGCUGGAGUGUGGUAGGGGGAGAUCGGAAUUCCUGGUGUAGCGGUGAAAUGCGCAGAUAUCAGGAGGAACACCGGUGGCGAAGGCGGAUCUCUGGGCCAUUACUGACGCUGAGGAGCGAAAAGCGUGGGGGAGCGAAACAGG
rnacentral:rRNA from 1 species